CGUAACCUUAGCAAAAGUAGGAAUUGUUAAUGAAAAAAUAUUAAGCCAAUCAGAAAUAAAUGUAUUAAUCACAGAUUUAGCUAAAGAAAAUAUUACAGCUCGUUCAGCCAUAGAAGCCAUUUCAUAUGCCACAACAUCAGUAGUCUCGAAUGACUUAGAGAUUGCUCUCAUCAUCAAGAUGCCGAAAUUAGAUUCAAGGAAUUUCAACAAAGUGCAACUCAUCCCGAUUGUUUUUGACCAGAAACAAAUACACAUACCAAACCCAUUCUAUCUCAUCCACAACAGCGAGAUUUAUCAGGUCAACUCAGUUGAACCAACUAUUUAUGAAAGUCGAGAAACUCGUUUGGGUAACUCGAAAUGUAUACCCCAACUACUGAAAGGAAAUCCUGCAGUUUGCAAUUUUACCACAAACCCAGUUACAAAGCAAAUCACCUAUCUGGAUGAUCAACAUCUAUUUAUAAAUUCAUUAAUGAAUUUCACCCUCACCUCUAAUUGUGGAAUAACAAACAGAACUCUCUCCGGAUCUUUCCUACUCCAUUUUAAUAAUUGUCAUGUGAACAUAAACAAUGUUCUGUACGACAAAAGAACCCAGACACUUCCAGGAAAACCGAUUCAAUUACCAUUGAAUGGAAUAGAGAUUAAGAUGCACCAAGAAAUUCUCAAUAUUAGUUUGGAACAUCUCCAUAAACUACAACAACAGACCAGGAAAGAAUUGGGUAAAAUUCGUUUAUCAUCCAUAAGUCUGCAUUGGCCUCAUUGAAAGAGAACCAUCAUUAACAACCUUCCUCAAAUUUCAAAAGGAAUUACAUCAAGAACAAUCACCAACAACUUUCCACAGAUUUCAAAAGAAAUUAAAUCAGGACAUCAACAAACUAUUUUUCGGAACCUGUCACCAGCAGAAUUGAUUCAGAUGGAACCUCAUCACUAAGGCGGGAGGAGUUAACUAUUGAACCAGGCUGAAGCCGUAAUGAAUAACAACAGACGCCGGUUGCAACGAAAAUAAACAACGAGUCGGAUAGCAGAAUAGACUCAACAACAAGUGGCAAAGCAGUAGAUCAGAGCUGUAAUAUAUUGAUUGGAAUAAAAUAAAAAUCAGUUGGAGUUAGGUCGUCGAUCGAA